rnacentral:lncRNA from 1 species
GGGAAACAUCUUGAGAGGUGUCAUAAUCUGCAUCCAUCAUAUUAUCCUGGCUUAGCCCCAACCUUCUUGCUUCUUCUGGAAGUGUGAAUAUAACCUUCAUGGAAAUGACUACCCCAAAAAUCAACUGGAAUAUGUGUGUUUGUGAGCCAAGGCAUUCCACACAGUCUGAAAAUCUCAGGUGCCUUCAAUGACAUGAGCAUAAAGCCAGGAGAGAAGGCAGGAAAUGCCAUGCACCCCUGGAGUGUUCCACAGUGAUCAGCUCCAGAAAUUUCCAUUGCAGAGACCUCAGUGCUUGUGCCCACUGGAAGAUGACCUGGUGGGAGAGCAAACAGCCUGAGGAAGAGUACCAAAUGCCAGAAUUUUGCACUUGGAAGAGAAGAUAAAAAACCCCAUGGGAAGUAGUAAAGGAAGGAGCUAGAGUUAGGGGAAAGUUAGUUUUGCCUGAAGAUUUGGAAGAGUAGUCCCAGAAGCAGAUAGAGCCUUGGCCAAUCCAGAGGUUCUGGUAUCAAAUCAAAAGAGAAUGCCUCCUAUCACGUGCUAGGGACAGCCCACACUCCUUGGGGACAAUUUGGUGCCAUCUGAUAGCAGAACUAAAGAAGAUGUGCUGUUCCUACCCUGGGAAUGUCUCCUGCACAUGAAUA